CUACGGGGCGCAGCAGGCGCGAAACCUCUACAAUGCACUAACGUGUGAUAGGGGGACCCAAAGUGCUUCACACAUGUGAGGCUUUUGCCAAGAGUAAAUACCUUGGCGAAUAAGUGGUGGGCAAGACUGGUGCCAGCCGCCGCGGUAACACCAGCGCCACGAGUGGCAAUUGAAUUAUUGGGCCUAAAGCGUCCGUAGCCUGUUUGGUAAAUUUCUUGUGAAAUUGUUAUGCUCAACAUAACAACGUGCAGGAAAGACUGCCAAACUAGGGACUGGGAGGAGUUAGAAGUAUUUUGGGGGUAGCGGUAAAAUGUUAUAAUCCCUAAGAGACUGCCGGUGGCGAAGGCGUCUAACUAGAACAGAUCCGACGGUCAGGGACGAAAGCUAGGGGAGCAAACCGGAUUAGAUACCCCAGUAGUC
rnacentral:rRNA from 1 species